AAUAGAAUCACUCCAGGUCACGCUGACCUGUGUGAUUCUAAAAUACAGACGUUAGACUUUUUAAAAAUAAUUACUUCCCUUCUAAUCUUUUCCUCCUAUGUAUUUUCAUCAUCUCUCAUUUGCUCCUGUGUGUUUCAUUGUUCUGGAACCAGUUGCUUUCCUGAAGCUCUUAUUGGGGUGGACACAAUCAAGACAGUAACGAAGAUUCUGCUUUCUGCUCCUGCCUCAUAUAUGUGAAAUCUCUUUGACUCUGGCGGCCUCCUUUCUCCACGUGUGAAAAGGAUAUAAAAGUUUAUCUUCUUUGCUGAAUAUUGC
rnacentral:lncRNA from 12 species